CCUACGGGUGGCUGCAGUGAGGAAUAUUGGUCAAUGGCCGAGAGGCUGAACCAGCCAAGUCGCGUGAGGGAAGACGGCCCUACGGGUUGUAAACCUCUUUUGUCGGGGAGCAAAGAGAGUCACGUGUGACUCAUUGAGAGUACCCGAAGAAAAAGCAUCGGCUAACUCCGUGCCAGCAGCCGCGGUAAUACGGAGGAUGCGAGCGUUAUCCGGAUUUAUUGGGUUUAAAGGGUGCGCAGGCGGAGGUGCAAGUCAGCGGUCAAAUUGCGGGGCUCAACCCCGUACUGCCGUUGAAACUGCAUCCCUUGAGUGCGCGAGAAGUAUGCGGAAUGCGUGGUGUAGCGGUGAAAUGCAUAGAUAUCAGGAGGAAUACCGUUAGCGAAGGCGGCAAUCUGGCUGGAAACUGACGCUGAGGUGCGAAAGCGUGGGUAGCAAACAGGAUUAGAUACCCUAGUAGUC
rnacentral:rRNA from 1 species